GGACCCGCACAAGUAGUGGAGCAUGUGGUUUAAUUCGAUGCAACGCGAAGAACCUUACCAGGCCUUGACAUCCCCGGAACUUUCUAGAGAUAGAUUGGUGCCUUCGGGAACCGAGUGACAGGUGCUGCAUGGCUGUCGUCAGCUCGUGUCGUGAGAUGUUGGUUAAGUCCCGCAACGAGCGCAACCCUUGUCCUUAGUUGCCAGCAUUAAGUUGGGCACUUUAAGGAAACUGCCGGUGAUAAGCCGGAGGAAGGUGGGGAUGACGUCAAGUCCUCAUGGCCCUUACAGGCUGGGCUACACACGUGCUACAAUGGCGAUGACAGUGGGCAGCGACCCCGCAAGGGUGAGCUAA
rnacentral:rRNA from 1 species